GUGAAGCCGAGGUUCUGUCCAAGUCGAGAUCAGUUCAGUCCAGUCCAGUCAAGUCGUCCCUUGGGUUUUGGCUAAGUCCUCUCCGAUUAACCAGCUGCUUCUCGCCUAGAACACUGUGAGUUGGUUUUGUGUGAAUUCCAUUUGGAAUUUAGGGAAGAUCGAGUGUUCAUAUAGAUUGGAAUGAUCACUCUAUUGAAUGGUAGAGUCCUUAGAGUUAUUUAUUUAUGGAACCGGACUCAGUUUAGCAAGGGCUAAGCUGAGAUGAAUGGAAUGGAAUUAAGACUGAGUUGAUAACCUGACUAGGACUAGGGCUAGGAUGCCUCAUGUUUUCUACUCUUGCGUGUUGAUAUGGUUGAGUGCAGGUUCCCGUUAUCUU
rnacentral:lncRNA from 1 species